UUUUUUUGUUAAUAACGGUCAGGGGAGCACCGUGAGAUUUGUUUCGGAAUUCCUUGAAGAUUUAUUUCAAAAUAAUUCUACGAUUUGCUUCGGAUUCCCUCGAAUAUUUAAUUCGGAGUUCCUCAAUGAUUUGAUUCGAAAUCCCUCGACGAAUUACUGCAGAAUCAAUUGACGAUUCGUUUCGAAAUCCUUCGAUGACUUGUUUCGGAAUUCUCUAACGAUUUGCUUGUACAUGCCUGGAGGAUUCCCUUUGGAAUCACAGGAAGUUUCUUUACGGAAUCCCUGGAGGAUUAAUUCGGAGCCUCAUGAUUUGCUUCGGGAUCAUUCGAAAGAUUGCAUCGGAAUUCUUCGACUAUUUGCUUCUACAUCAUGAAACAUAGCCUAGAAUUCAUGGAGGAUUUCCGACGGAAUCUCUAGAACAUUUCCGUCGGAGUUCCUGUAAUAUUCACGUCGGAAUUUCUUGAGAAUUCCAUUCGGAAUCUCUUGAAAAUUCUCAUUGGAAUCCCUGAAAUAUGUCCAUCGGUUUCUCUCAAAUAUUCCCUUCAUAAUCGCUGGAAUUCCCGUUGGAAUUCCUGGAACAUUCCCGUCGGAAUCUCUGCAGGAUUCCUGUCGACAUCCCGGGAGGAUUUUGAAUCUCUGGAACAUUCCCUUCGGACUCCUUGGAGGAAUAUUGCAUUUUUUUUCAUUUAAGAUAGAUAGAAUUUUCAUGAAAUAUGCAAAAAUUCACUGCCUCGGUUGGAGCCUGACGGUGAUCCAUCACAUAUUGUCCUUUGGAUGUGCGGGACAAAGCCGAGCGCUACUACACUUAGACGCAAUAGCCACACGCUACCAAUUUGAGUCGUUGUAGCAAUCAUCGGCAAGUAAGCAAACACGCUUCAAUACUGUGGGCUACAACAGAAAGCACGUGCUUGAGAGAAUUUGGAUGAGAAUGAUUGAUAUGCAAUUGCCUUAGGUGGUUGAACCGUAUUUAUCACAUUAUCACUAAGAUUACUUAAUGAGGUGGUAACAUGUUCGAGAAAUUUUGAAAAGAAGCUCAAAAUAGAGAAAAUAGAUGAAGGGGUGAUUUGGAAAAUCAUAUAGCGCGUCUGCGAAACUGCCAAAAGAAAAGGGUUGACGAUCUAGAAAAUCCCAGGGUAAGUCCUGGAGGCAUAGGUUUUAGUUGAAAUAAUUUUUUUUUAAUUUUUUACAAUUGACAGUGUACAUGAGGCCACAAGUUAAGCUUUUUCUAAUGAACGCUUGAUCAGUCGGGUCAAAUUUGUUUAAAGUCCCACCCAACACCAGGACUAGGCUAGUGCGAUAGUGAUAGGGCCUUCUUGCGGUUACAUGCAGCUUUUUAUAGAAGUUCAACAGAGCCCACCGUCAAACUCCACCACACCCUAGGCAAACCCCACAGGACGCACCCUCUUACUCUAGCUGAUAUGGUCAGAAGGACAACAGUGCCCAGGCUACACCAACAGCUAAGUACGCAACCCUUAGCUGGUGGUCAAUUGUCAUCGGAAGACCCGUGAAAACGUGAGAAUGGGAACUUGUUUCUUGCGCCUAUUAUGGACCGCCUAUCUGUUGGGCUGCCAAAUUGAGAAACAGGUCGCCUACUACGAUGCACGUGGGCUGUGGUGUCGCGCAUGGCAUUCUAUAGGGCACUGCGCGGACUGCUUUGUCUCUUGAUCGCUGCAAAUAAAUUAGAAAACAACAAGGCAAGAAUUGUCAAAAUUUAAUUUUGGACUGAAAAUAGAGAAAAACAUCAUUCCUCAUUAAUAAAACACAUGUCUCAAGAAUUGUCAGGCCAAAGCUUGGAAAACUAAUGCAAAGACGAAUGAAGAGUAUCGGCGUUGAGAUACUCCUGGUAAUCAGUUUCACAGUGAUUGUCCAGGUUGCAACUUGAAGCAAAUCAAUUCCAUCAAUAGCCUAAAGGAUUCAGUUUGCAAACUGAACUGAAAGAACAAAAUUAUAUGUAUGAGCAUUAACAUCAAGUUACACUUUAUCAUAUAUCAAAUGGCGUAAUCUGAAUAGGUUAUAAUGCGUAAAAUAUUUUAUAACGAAAGUAAAACUAAUGAUCCGAAAUCCAUAAUAUUGUGUUUGAUAUCAAGGUUUUUCAAAUAUCUUGCAAUAUUUCAUCUAAUACUGCGCUAUUAACAUGCAAUACUUGAAUUUCAAGUCGAGUCAACAUAUUAUUGGUUUAAUCUAUUCACAUAUUAUUUCAUAAAUACAACGAGAUCAUGAUAUCGCUAAUUACCUAUCCAAUCGUUCAUUCUCAAUCAACUUACUUAAACACAUUUGACUUCUCCAUUAUAUAUUACCAUUGUACCUCACCCAAGAAUCCACCAAAGUUUUAUCCUAUGACGUUUACGUUGUUGACAGAAGAUAGAUCAAAACCAAAUUCAAUGCAUUUAUGUAUAUUUAUGAUAGACUAAUGUUUAGGGGUCGUCUGUUAAAUAAACUCUACAAAUUAAUAUUCAUCUACUAUUAAAACGCACUAGCAACAAUAACACAUAACCUUGUACUUAGGAGGCUUUUCUAUAAAACAGUUCUAGAAUUGAUUCUAGGUCGACUUUAUAGAUCCGUAUGGUCUAGAUAUACACGUAGCUACCAUUUAUUUAGAACAAAGAUGAUGAAUAUUAUUCAUAUUAUAUAUACACGAAUCCUUCACCCUAGAAAUCAAAAAUAUAUUUAUCGUAUGGUGUACGUAUUACGAGAUUCAAACGGUAAUUUAUCUUGAAGAUAGAUAUAAUCAACAAAACUUGGAAAUACAAAUCAGGCCAAUACAAAUAUUUUAUAUAAUUUGGAGUUUUCGUCCAUUUAGAAGCUUUUUUUUGAAGAACCUGAAAAAUAAAUAUGAAAUUAUUUUAAGACUACUUAUUAGUGAAAACCGGUGAAAUUGAGAUUUGUUAUCAAUUUUUUUUAUUAUCAUCCAUGUUACGCGUACCUUUAGAUGAAAAUUUGUAUUGGCCUCUUGCACACAACAAUAUUAUGAUUAAUCUUGAAAUAAAGGAAACAAAACUUAUACAAUUAACCCAGCGAAUGUCACGGUGUCUGAUGAUUAUGAUAGCUGAACGAUGUGGAACAAGUUUCAAAGCAGUAGAUAAUUAAAGCGAUAAAACUGAUCAAUUAAUAUAGAAUAUCAAACUAAACUACAAAAGAUAGCAUUUAAAUAGUAUCUGUGCGGCUUCUGGCAAACAUAUGAUAACGAACAACUUAUAAUUGUUAUAACACGUAUGAUGCUGUACCGGUUACUGCAAGUCUAUUGUUAUAUGAACUGAGGUGGAAUAAUAUUGAUAAUAAUAUAAAUAAAAAGCGCUAUCCUUUCUGUA